UACUUAUUUAUGACAUUUCAAUGACAUGCAUUCAUAUGACAAUUUUAAUAUUUUCAUGUAUCACAGGCAUGUGGCUUUAUUUGCAUUUCCAAAAAAUCUGGAACAUCGUACAAAAUGGGUGAAAACAUUGAAAAAUGUGGCCAUAAAAACAAAUAGCACUGUAUGUCAAAAACAUUUUAAUGAAACCUGUACAAAAUUGGAUUGUCAUCAUUACGCUUAUACGAAGGAUCUGUACCAUCUAUAUUUCCACAUGUUUCUAAUUUAAGCAUAACAGAAAGUAUACACUGUAACGAAAA